GCGGUCUUCCGCCCAGCCACGCCCCUUCGAACGAGGAGAGGCGCGCGGGAGAGCUUGGUGCAGGCCAUCGUGAGGAAGCCACGAGCAGCUAUGGCAAGUGGUCGCAGGAAGCGGACAGCCAGCCAGGAGGGAAGGGAGCAACGUCGCCGCAGUAGCAGGCAGGCCAAGCCGCCUGCCCCUGCCCCUGCCCCUGAUGGCCUAGCUGGACAGCAGGAAGAGGAGGUAUUACAGGCUCCCAUAUCCCCAUACCAUCUAUUCAGAGAUGCAGCAGAAGUCACAGCCUUCCGGGGGAACCUGCUGAGCUGGUAUGAUCGAGAGAAGCGGGACCUGCCUUGGAGAAGACGAGCAGAGGAUGAGGUGGACCCAGACAAGCGGGCAUAUGCUGUGUGGGUGUCAGAGGUUAUGCUGCAGCAGACCCAGGUUGCCACAGUGAUCAACUACUAUACCCGAUGGAUGCAGAAGUGGCCAACACUACAGGACCUGGCCAGUGCUUCCCUGGAGGAGGUAAACCAGCUCUGGGCUGGCCUGGGCUACUAUUCUCGUGGCCGUCGGCUGCAAGAAGGAGCUCAAAAGGUGGUAGGAGAACUAGAGGGCCACAUGCCACGUACAGCAGAGGCCUUGCAGAAGCUCCUGCCCGGUGUGGGCCGGUACACAGCCGGGGCCAUUGCAUCUAUUGCAUUUGACCAGGCAACAGCUGUGGUAGAUGGGAAUGUCAUGCGAGUGCUGUGCCGUGUACGGGCCAUUGGUGCCGAUCCCAGUAGCAACUUUGUCUCUCAACAGCUCUGGAGCCUAGCCCAGCAGCUAGUGGACCCAGCCCGGCCAGGAGACUUCAAUCAAGCAGCCAUGGAACUGGGGGCCACAGUGUGUACUCCACAGCGCCCCCUCUGCAGCAGCUGCCCUGUGCAUAGCCUGUGUCGGGCACACCAGAGGGUGACUCGAGAGCAGCCCUCUGCCUCACAGAGCCCACCAGGAGGUCCUGAUGUGGAAGAGUGUGCUCCCAAUACUGGACAGUGCCGGCUGUGCCUGCCCCACACAGAACCCUGGAAUUGUACCCUUGGAGUGACCAACUUUCCCCGAAAGCCUAGCCGAAGGCCCCCCAGGGAAGAGCACUCUGCCACUUGUGUUCUCGAACAACCCAGAGCCCCUGGAGGUACUCGCCUUCUGCUGGUACAAAGGCCCCAUUCAGGCCUGCUGGCAGGACUAUGGGAAUUCCCAUCGGUGACUGUGGCACCCUCAGGACAGCAUCCCAGCAAGGCUUUGCUGCAGGAACUGCAGACCUGGGCCGGGCCCCUCCCAGCCACCCGCCUGCAGCACCUUGGGGAGGUGGUGCACACCUUUUCUCACAUCAAGUUGACUUAUCAAGUGUUCAGCCUCACCCUGGAGGAGCAGAACCCAGUGACCACCGCACCCCCCGGUGCCCGCUGGCUGACUCGUGAAGAAUUUCAAAGUGCAGCUGUCUCUACUGCCAUGAAAAAGGCACAUUUGUUGUCUACUUUGUCAUUUUUUGUGUUUCCUGCCUGCCACAUAUAUGAACUUACUGUAUAAACCGAGAAACUGUAUCAACAAAAGUACUGGGGCAUGAAGUUGAGGGCAGAGCAUAGGGAUUUGGCUGUUUGGAGAAGGUGCCAGUCCUGUCUUGUCUCCUCUUCUUGGCCAGGUGUUCCGAGUUUAUGAGGCACAUCAACCAGGGAUCUUCAGGGGUUCCAGAAAUUCCCAGGUGUCUGCUCCAUCCAGUUGCAAAAAGCCCAGCCGGGG